rnacentral:miRNA from 16 species
AUAAAGCUAGGUAACCAAAACAA